UACAGAGGGUGCAAGCGUUAAUCGGAAUUACUGGGCGUAAAGCGUGCGCAGGCGGUGAUGUAAGUCAGUUGUGAAAUCCCCGGGCUCAACCUGGGAACUGCAUCUGUGACUGCAUCGCUGGAGUGCGGCAGAGGGGGAUGGAAUUCCGCGUGUAGCAGUGAAAUGCGUAGAUAUGCGGAGGAACACCGAUGGCGAAGGCAAUCCCCUGGGCCUGCACUGACGCUCAUGCACGAAAGCGUGGGGAGCAAACAGG
rnacentral:rRNA from 1 species